rnacentral:misc_RNA from 1 species
GAUGAAGAACGUAGCGAAAUGCGAUAAGUAGUGUGAAUUGCAGAAUUCAGUGAAUCAUCGAAUCUUUGAACGCACAUUGCGCCCUUUGGUAUUCCGGGGGGCAUGCCUGUUCGAGCGUCAUUUCACCACUCAAGCCUCGCUUGGUAUUGGGCAACGCGGUCCGCCGCGUGCCUCAAAUCGACCGGCUGGGUCUUCUGUCCCCUAAGCGUUGUGGAAACUAUUCGCUAAAGGGUGUUCGGGAGGCUACGCCGUAAAACAACCCCAUUUCUAAGGUUGACCUCGGAUCAGGUAGGGAUACCCGCUGAACUUAAGCAUAUCAAUAAGCGGAGGA